CACGCCCCACCCCAUCAACUGUCACAGUUCGGGAGGCGGGCAGAGCUCUCACCGCAGUCCCUGCUCUGCCACGGCCACACAGCGGCAGCCACCACCAGGAGAGUCAAUGCCAUGGAAUUGUUUGUUGAAAGCACUGAGGCUAAGAUGUUCCAGCUUCGACAUUUUGCCAAAUUCUGGGCAAAUGGGCAUGGCUGUAUAGUUAUUGUAUGAGAGAUCUAGAUACUGGAGACUUGCAACGAGAUGGCAAGAAAGAGUCGACAAGUUGUUGUGGGAAAGAUCAAG